rfam:Streptomyces sp. DI166 genome assembly, contig: Ga0115233_1034
CUUCACCGACCCCAGCCACAACGGCCGUUCACGAUCCUGCCCGUACGUCGCGAGCAGCGCCUGCGCCUC